rnacentral:hammerhead_ribozyme from 1 species
AUACAGCUGAUGAGUCACAAAUAGGAUGAAACGCGCGUUCUGAAU